AUGCCGCAUCAGUCCCUCCCCUCUCCUCUCAACUCACUCGCUAGUCGCACAUCUAACCCGCUCACCUUCCCCAGCCGCAUCGUCGAGAACGUCGCGGAGCUCGCAACCACCACGACUCUGCCAGCCGACCACCGCACCACUCUCCGGCGACCCGUAUCCGCGGCGGUGCUGGUCUCCGGCGAGUUCCUUGCUCAGAUCCGAAGCGGGGUGCCUCGAUCUGCAACGCCAGAAGCCCCGGGCGAAGACACGGCCACGGUGGUGCAGCAUGUGGUCUUCAUCGUCUACCACUCCGCCGUCUUCGGCAACCCGCACCACUUCUGCGUCCACAUGUCCUUCAAGGGCCGCACCGUCCUGUUCGACUGCGGCAUCCACCCGGCCUACUCCGGCAUGGCGGCGCUGCCCUACUUCGACGAGAUCGACCCCUCCGGCAUCGAUGUCCUCCUAGUCACCCACUUCCACUUGGACCACGCCGCCUCGCUGCCCUACUUCCUCGAGAAGACGACGUUCAAGGGCCGCGUGUUCAUGACCCAUGCCACCAAGGCCAUCUACAGGCUGCUGCUCUCGGAUUACGUCAAGGUCAUAGACUUCCACCAGACACUUGAAGUUAAUGGCAUACGCUUCUGGUGCUAUACUACUGGCCAUGUACUUGGUGCUGCCAUGUUCAUGGUGGAUAUUGCCGGUGUUCGCAUUCUUUACACCGGUGACUACUCCCGUGAAGAAGACCGGCACCUGAAAGCUGCUGAGAUCCCCCAGUUCUCCCCUAAUAUUUGCAUUAUUGAGUCAACUUAUGGCGUGCAGCAACACCAACCCCGCCAUAUCAGAGAAAAGCGCUUCACUGAUGCCAUCCACAACACUGUUUCUCAAGGGGGGCGUGUUCUUAUCCCGGCAUAUGCUCUUGGUAGAGCACAGGAACUGUUGCUUAUCCUGGAUGAGUAUUGGUCUAACCACCCAGAGCUCAAUAAGAUUCCAUAUUAG
rnacentral:rRNA from 1 species